rnacentral:rRNA from 1 species
UACAGAGACUGCAAGCGUUAUUCGGAUUCACUGGGCGUAAAGGGUGCGUAGGCGGUCGGGUAAGUCUGACGUGAAAUCUUCAAGCUCAACUUGGAAACUGCGUCCGAUACUAUUCGGCUAGAGGAAUGGAGGGGAGACUGGAAUACUUGGUGUAGCAGUGAAAUGCGUAGAUAUCAAGUGGAACACCAGUGGCGAAGGCGAGUCUCUGGACAUUUCCUGACGCUGAGGCACGAAAGCCAGGGGAGCAAACGGG